rnacentral:hammerhead_ribozyme from 1 species
AUUCUGUUGACGAGUCUCAAAUAGGACUAAACGCGCAUCCUAGAU